ensembl:lncRNA
AUGCAAAGAUACUUAUUGGUCUUUGACUUAAGUUUGACCAGAUAUGAGUAGUGUCACAAAGCUCUAGUACUGGCAAUAUUAAAUAACAUGUCAGAUGGAGCACGCUUUCAAACUCCUACGAGUCACCAUCCUGAGGGGCAGUAAUAGGAGAGAGCAUCCUUCCAGCUCAUCUGCAUACCAUUAGGAAGGCUCGUCUGCAUACCAUUAGGAAGGUGCUCAAACAGAGCAGGAUGCAUGAAGGCCAGCUGACCCAGAGCUCACCUCCCAGGUUCCCUCUUUGCACAAAUCCACCAACCCUUCCACUCGGUCUGGAAUAGCAAGGACAGAAUGGAGAGAGGCUAUUUCCUCUUUAUGUGUGUAACAAAAGUACAUUUUGGUGCCACCAAAAAGGAAGAAAAAUCAAUGAACUUUGUUUUAAUCUGACACUUGGCUUAUUCAGGCACACGUACAGUAAAAGCAAUUACAAAUCUGACAAACCAGACCAUUGAAAAAUUAUGAAGAUUAUGAGAUGAAUUAUUGCUUUAUCCCUCGGCCCCCCUCAACUCUUUGUGCUAGGAGGAUGACAUCAUCGAUUGAAAGAAUAAUUGGUUCUCCAGAUGCUUGAAUGAUACCGAGGGUUCUUUCUUCUCAUAUUAAUGUUCUUUACCUGCAUCACUUUGCCUAUUUCAGAUGUGCACAGUGAUGCAGUUUUAUGACUGCACCCUCAGCAAUAAUCCUUAUUGAUUGUCACCAUCAGUUGUUUGGCUCCAGCCUCAAACCAGUCAAAACUAAGCCUGUGCCUAGAUAUGGGAGGAAUAAGAGACAAAAACAGAUUCAUCUGUGAAAAAAAAGUGUUCAAAGAAACAGCCACAAUAUAUGAGAGACUGAUAUUUCAGUUUAACCCCCAGGACAGAGGCACAGUGGACCAAACUUCAGCCACUGCUAUUAGCUGUUGGACACAGAGAGUUGGUGAUGUUCCCUUGGGAGUCAGCAGAAGGCACAGGCACAGCCCUCUGCAACUGAGGGUGAAUCAACCUCUGAAAGCACCUAUUUUUGGCUCUGAUGGCAUGGUGCUCACACGAUAAGUGCUAGGUCUGGCCACCUCUCAGGCUGUUAACUUCUCUUGAAAUGAAUUCCACUCAACAGCUGUCUGUGGCUCACAUUCAUGCACUGGCCACACUUUGCAUCUUGAGGAAAGAACCGUAUGCAAUGGUGAUUACAGAACUACACAACUACACAAAAAUAUGAAUUGCAGUUGAGUGCAUGAUUGCUUUUUUGUAUCCCACGGUAGUGUUUUGCCCAGUGGAAGGAUGGAUGUAUGCAGGUGGACUGCUGUAAAAGUAUGGAGCUGUCCUUAGCCCCAUCUGGCCUUAAAAAAUGGGUUCAGUAUGAGUAAUAGAUGAACUGUGCCACAGAGCUGAGGGAGAAGUCCAUUAUCCUCCAAAUAAAGCCCAUAAGCAAAGGCC